rnacentral:lncRNA from 1 species
UGGAGAUAAGGUUACCAGCAGCUGCAAACCCCUUUUACCUGCAAGGACUGUGACCUUGAAAAGGAAACGAAACUAAGAAUCUUCAAGCAACACUUCAGUGAUUGGAUUGCUCUUGCCAUUUCUCAGGAGGCCUUGGAUGGGAAGGCUUCCCGUGGACUCCAGAGGGUGAGCAACCGUAAGCAACAUGUCUCCUCCGUCGGGGCUGGAAGACUUUGCAGCCCUGUAGGCAGUGACAGGAUUUCUGUUAACACAAGUACAUGGAUCGGCUGGUUUUAUUUCUCCGUUUGCUCCCUCAUCCAGUUAUGGCCAAAUGAAGAUUUAUGGGGAACUGAUCCAAAUGCCCACACACGGAGAAAGGAAUAAACCGAUGAGAUCUACUCGUACCAUGACACAUUUGGCCACGUGAGGGAGAAACAUGACCUGCUGCAGCACCGGUGAAGCUAGGGGACACGGUGCUGAGUGGGAGCAGCCGGUCACAGAGCACUGCAUACUGUUCCGCUGGUGUGAGACGCCCACAGCAGGGUGUCCACGCAGGGAGAAAGUAGCUGAGCAGUAGCUUAGGGAUGGGGAAAAAGAGGCAGACGAUGCCAAAAAUGUGGGGCUUGCU